AGUAAAGUCAGCUAAUUUAGCUUUCGGGCCCAUACCCCGAAAAUUUUGGUAUCCAAAUCCUUCCUAUACUA
rnacentral:tRNA from 1 species